rnacentral:rRNA from 1 species
AUUUACAUAUCAAUAAGCGGUGGAAAAGAAACUAACCAGGAUUCCCCUAGUAACGGCGAGUGAACAGGGAUUAGCCCAGCACCGAAGUCUGCGUUCGUUUGGACGUUGGACAAUGUGGUGUUUAGGUUGGCAUUUUUGAAUGUCGCUCCGUUUAAAGUCCAUUCUUGAAUAUGGCUAAUAGUUUGGCCCAGAGAGGGUGAAAGGCCCGUGUGGAUGGAGUGAUGUUUAACUGUGUUAACUAUGGAGUCGGGUUGUUUGAGAAUGCAGCCCAAAGUUGGUGGUAAACUCCAUCUAAGGCUAAAUACUGGCACGAGUCCGAUAGCGAACAAGUACCGUGAGGGAAAGUUGAAAAGUACUCUGAAGAGAGAGUUAACAGUGCGUGAAACCGCUUAGAAGCAAACGGGUGUAGUCAAGCUGCAAGCCUUCAGAAAUAGGUGGGCCAGAAUGGCGUGAGUCUGAGCACAUAGAACUGGCAAAUUGGUUCGAUUUUAUGUCGAGUUUGGCUCUUCGGGGUCGAAUUUGCGAAGCGUGUACGCGAUGCAAGCCGUUUUGCUGGGUGUUCUGCUGGCCCUCUCACUUUCUGUUGGCGUAUGUCACGACCGUCUCUGCUGUCGGUCUGCUCUGUUCAAACCGGAUUGUGAGUAGUUACCCACUGCUUGCGUUUCGGAGGCAGGUAGCUGGUCUGGUCUCGGCUGGAUCGGUGUAAUUGCUGAAUGGAGUGGUAUCUGUAACUGUGCAGUAAGAUGGAACAGGCGGUGCAUUGUAGCUGGUCGAGCUAAAGUGUGCUGGUGUGGUUGGUGUAUGGCUGCUUGUUGCUGUUAAUAACAGCCUGGCGGUUGCCCGACUGCGGUUUAGUGCACGGCUUCGUCUGGUCAAUCUUUGCGUUGUGCCUAUAGUCUGUGGCGUAGUGGUAGACGAUCCACCCGACCGUCUUGGAGAGGGCGGACCAAAA